rnacentral:rRNA from 1 species
GAUGAACGCUGGCGGCGUGCCUAAUACAUGCAAGUCGAGCGAACAGACGCGGCGCUUGCUUCUCUCACGUUAGCCGCGGACGUGUGAGUAACACGUGGAUCACCUACCUAUCUUUCUGAUAUCAUUUCGGAAAUCCGGCUCUAAUCCCGUAUAAUCUCCUGCACCGCAUUGUUCAAUAGUGAAAGACGGUCUUUCUGUCACUUAUCGCUGCAUCCGCGCUGCAUUAGCUAGUUGGUAAGGUAACGGCUUACCAAGGCAACGAUGCGUAGCCGACCUGAGAGGGGGAUAGGCCACAUGAGAACGGGACCAGGGACAAGAGGACUACGGGACGCAGCAGUAGGGAAUCUUCGGCAAUGGGCGAAAGCAUGACGGAGCAACGCCGCGUGAGUGAUGAAGGUCUUCGGAGCGUAAAAAUCUGUUAUGAGGGAAGAACAGAUGUGUAAGUAACUGUGCACAGCUUGACGGUAACUAAUAAGAAAGCCACGGCUAACUACGUG